UGCGUAGGCGGGCUAAUAAGUCAGUGGUGAAAUCUCUCGGCUCAACCGGGAGGCACCAUCCGAUACUGUUGAGCUCGAGGGCAGCAGAGGGAGGUAGAAUUCCCGGUGUAGUGGUGGAAUGCGUAGAUAUCGGGAGGAAUACCAGUGGCGAAAGCGGCCUCCUGGGCUGUUUCUGACGCUGAUGCCCGAAAGCGUGGGGAGCAAACAGGAUUAGAUACCCUGGUAGUCC
rnacentral:rRNA from 1 species